rnacentral:sRNA from 2 species
GGGAAUCUGCUGUACUGCAGUUCCUUAAAGACAGUGGCGGAGCGGCGGUAGUCCUCUGAGCGUAGUAAUUUAUUUCUCGCUUUUGUCAGGCUCUGUCCUCCCGCCAUAAAACCCCCAAUUUUUUAGUGGUUGACCUCGGAUCAGGUAGGAAUACCCGCUGAACUUAAGCAUAUCAAUAAGCGGAGGAAAAGAAACCAACAGGGAUUCCCCUAGUAACGGCGAGUGAAGCGGGAACAGCUCAAAUUUGAAAUCUGGCCCUUGGGUCCGAGUUGUAAUUUGCAGAGGAUGCUUUUGGUGCGGUGCCUUCCGAGUUCCCUGGAACGGGACGCCUUAGAGGGUGAGAGCCCCGUACGGUUGGCCACCAAGCCUGUGUAAAGCUCCUUCGACGAGUCGAGUAGUUUGGGAAUGCUGCUCAAAAUGGGAGGUAUAUUUCUUCUAAAGCUAAAUACUGGCCAGAGACCGAUAGCGCACAAGUAGAGUGAUCGAAAGAUGAAAAGCACUUUGAAAAGAGGGUUAAAUAGCACGUGAAAUUGUUGAAAGGGAAGGAUUUAUGACCAGACUUUUUCUGGGGGGAUCAUCCGGUGUUCUCACCGGUGCACUUCCCCCAGUUGAGGCCAGCAUCGGUUUCUGCCGGGGGAUAAAAGCUUUGGGAAUGUGGCUCCUUCGGGAGUGUUAUAGCCCGUUGCAUAAUACCCUGGCGGGGACCGAGG